rnacentral:rRNA from 1 species
GACGAACGCUGGCGGCGUGCCUAAUACAUGCAAGUAGAACGAGUUGCUAACGGGUGGGUAAUGUAUCGGAACGUGCCCAGUAGCGGGGCAUAACUACGCGAAGGCGUAGCUAAUACCGCAUACUCUUGGAGCCGCCGGUAUGGGAUUAGCUAGUUGGUGGGGUAACGGCUCACCAAGGCGACGAUCCAUAGCUGGUCUGAGAGGACGACCAGCCACACUGGGACUGAGACACGGCCCAGACUCCUACGGGAGGCAGCAGUGGGGAAUUUUGGACAAUGGGGGAAACCCUGAUCCAGCCAUCCCGCGUGUGUGAUGAAGGCCUUCGGGUUGUAAAGUACUUUUGGCAGGAAAGCGGUACCUGCAGAAGAAGCACCGGCUAACUACGUGCCAGCAGCCGCGGUAAUAC